rnacentral:tRNA from 1 species
GUUCCGGUAGCUCAGUCGGUAGAGCGCCGCCUCGACAAGACGGAGGUCCCUGGUUCGAGUCCAGGCCGGAACAC